GGGAAAGUUACUGGUAUGAUAAUUGUGGUUAUAUUAUAUUACUAUUAUAUUUAGUGUAUUGCUAAUCAAUAUAUUGUUACUUCCCAGGUGACAGCGGCUCACUUCAAGAGCAGGUGAAGCAAGUUGGGACAAUGUUGAAGACAUUUGCUCGCACUGGGCAAUCAGGUGCAGAUCAAACCCUAAUGCUGCGACGUCUUGGAGUUUGGCGAUGUUGUGCGUAGCAUGGACAACAAAAUGCUAUGCUGCAACAUUUCAGUGCCAAUGUGUCUGUUGGAGAGUUAUCCCUGCCAGGGGAUCUGUUACUCCCCCCUAGACACCCAGGAAGAUUUGGCGUUGCUUGACAACAGUUUGAGGCAGGAUAAAGAGCUCCAGCAACGAUUUCUUCGGUUUUUGGCAAUCAAAUGUGGGAGGGACCUAAAGACAACCGUGUGGCGAAUGCUUCAGAGUAUCUUCUCUAAUCACCUUUCCAUCAAUACAACCUGG